UGCAGGGAGCCCGACGCGGGAUCGAUCCCAGGUCUCCAGGUCACGCCCCGGGCUGAAGGCAGGUUCAAGUUCUUCCUUCAAAGAAUCAUCAGAAUGACAUGGAUUGAAGAGACUUUGGAACACUUGCCAUCUCUUGCUGCUGAUGUUACAUGAAAGAAAAUAUUAAACAUUUAAUUUUUAGAUAAGUGUAAUACAUAUUUCACCAAGUAAAAUAUUUCAAUGCUUGCAUUA